UCCAUGUGUAGCGGUGAAAUGCGUAGAUAUGUGGAAGAACACCAGUGGCGAAAGCGGCUUGCUAGAUCGUAACUGACGUUGAGGCUCGAAAGUAUGGGUAGCAAACGGGAUUAGAUACCCCGGUAGUCCAUACCGUAAACGAUGGGUGCUAGUUGUUAAGAGGUUUCCGCCUCCUAGUGACGUAGCAAACGCAUUAAGCACCCCGCCUGAGGAGUACGGCCGCAAGGCUAAAACUUAAAGGAAUUGACGGGGACCCGCACAAGCGGUGGAGCAUGUGGUUUAAUUCGAAGAUACGCGAAAAACCUUACCAGGUCUUGACAUACCAAUGAUCGCUUUUGUAAUGAAAGCUUUUCUUCGGAACAUUGGAUACAGGUGGUGCAUGGUCGUCGUCAGCUCGUGUCGUGAGAUGUUGGGUUAAGUCCCGCAACGAGCGCAACCCUUGUUAUUAGUUGCCAGCAUUUAGUUGGGCACUCUAAUGAGACUGCCGGUGAUAAACCGGAGGAAGGUGGGGACGACGUCAGAUCAUCAUGCCCCUUAUGACCUGGGC
rnacentral:rRNA from 1 species